rnacentral:rRNA from 1 species
GAUGAACGCUAGCGGCAGGCCUAACACAUGCAAGUCGAGGGCAGCACAGAAACAGCAAUGUCUUGGUGGCGACCGGCGGACGGGUGCGUAACGCGUAUGCAACCUACCUUUAACAGGGGGAUAACGGAGAGAAAUUUCCACUAAUACCCCAUAACAUCGAUCAAGGCAUCUUGCUUGGGUGACAACUCCGGUGGUUAAAGAUGGGCAUGCGUUGUAUUAGGUAGUUGGUGAGGUAAUGGCUAACCAAGCCUACGAUACAUAGGGGGACUGAGAGGUUAGCACACCACACUGGUACUGAGACAAGGACGAGACUCAUACGGGAGGGAGCAGUGAGGAAUAUUGGUCAAUGGGGGCAACCCUGACCCUGCCAUGCCGCGUGCAGGAAGACGGCGCUAUGAGUUGUAUACUGCUUUUAAACAGGGAUAAAGCACAGUAUGUAUACUGUGUUGAAGGUACUGUAAGGAUAAGGAUCGGCUAACUCCGUGCCAGCCGCCGCGGUAA